rnacentral:rRNA from 1 species
GAUGAACGCUGGCGGCGUGCUUAACACAUGCAAGUCGAGCGAGUGAGUUCUUCGGAACGAUCUAGCGGCGGACGGGUGAGUAACACGUGGGCAACCUGCCUCAUAGAGGGGAAUAGCCUCCCGAAAGGGAGAUUAAUACCGCAUAAUGUUGAAAGAUGGCAUCAUCAUUCAACCAAAGGAGCAAUCUGCUAUGAGAUGGACCCGCGGCGCAUUAGCUAGUUGGCGGGGUAACGGCCUACCAAGGCGACGAUGCGUAGCCGACCUGAGAGGGUGAUCGGCCACAUUGGGACUGAGACACGGCCCAGACUCCUACGGGAGGCAGCAGUGGGGAAUAUUGCACAAUGGGGGAAACCCUGAUGCAGCAACGCCGCGUGAGUGAUGAAGGUUUUCGGAUCGUAAAGCUCUGUCUUUGGGGAAGAUAAUGACGGUACCCAAGGAGGAAGCCACGGCUAACUACGUGCCAGCCGCCGCGGUAA